rnacentral:rRNA from 1 species
GAUGAACGCUAGCGACAGGCCUAACACAUGCAAGUCGAGGGGCAUCGGGACGUAGCAAUACGUUGCCGGCGACCGGCGGAUGGGUGAGUAACGCGUAUGCAACCUACCCGUAGCAGGGGGAUAGCCCGUUGAAAGACGGAUUAAUACCCCGUAACACAGGGGCUCCGCAUGGAGGUUAUUGUUAAAGGGUCAUUUCUUUUUCAGGGAUGGUCCGGCUGCGGAUGGGCAUGCGUUCCAUUAGGUAGUUGGUGUAGGUAACUGCUCACCAAGCCGACGAUGGAUAGGGGAACUGAGAGGUUGGUCCCCCACACUGGUACUGAGACACGGACCAGACUCCUACGGGAGGCAGCAGUGAGGAAUUUUGGUCAAUGGACGCAAGUCUGAACCAGCCAUGUCGCGUGAAGGAGGACGGCCCUAAGGGUUGUAAACUUCUUUUGCAGUGGAAUAAAGUUUGCCACGUGUUGGCGAUUUGCAAGUACGCUGCGAAUAAGGAUCGGCUAACUCCGUGCCAGC